rnacentral:rRNA from 1 species
GGACCAAGGAGUCCAGCGAACGAGCAUGACGCAAAGGUUCAUUCCAAAUUGAAUCCGUCAAACUUAACGAAAGCAAUUAAGGGGCGCGCGCGCGCGCGCGCGCUCUAUCAUCAUCUUUUUGAUGAAUUGAGUAGACGCGCGCGCGCGUAGUAGACCUCUAGUUUGUAUGAUGAGACGUAUAAUCGAAAAAUUGUAAAAAAUUUUUCGAUUGUUCUAUUGAUUUAGUUGAUAGAACAGCGUCUAGGCAAAUCGGAGAUGGCAAUUUUCGUAGCGUUGCUAGGGCAGCAAUGCCAUAGCGGCGUUGCGUGCCGUACUCGUAGCUCGUGCUCUGGAACCCGAAAGAUGGUGAACUAUGCAUGGAAAGGAUGAAGCCAGGGGAAACUCUGGUGGAGGUCCGCAAUGGUUCUGACGUGCAAAUCGAUCAUCAGAACUAUGUAUAGGGGCGAAAGACCAAUCGAACCAUCUAGUAGCUGGUUCCUUUCGAAGUUUCCCUAAGGAUAGCUGAGGUCUGGCGAGACGAGAUAGUCACAUGCGGUAAAGCGAAUGAUUAGAGUCGUUGGGUUCGAAACGUUCUCAACCUAUUCUCAAACUGUUAAUGUGUGUGUUUUCCGUUAGCUAGCAUAUGUGUGCUCAUAUAUAAACGGACGCGGAGUAGCAAACGGAUAGAUAGUGAAGGCCUUCAGUGGGCCAUUUUUGGUAAGCAGAACUGGCGAUGCGGGAUGAACCGGUCGUAAAGUUAUAGUGCCAAAAUCAACGCAUAUCGGACCCCACAAAAGGCGUUAGUAACUAAAGACAGCGGGACGGUGGCCAUGGAAGUCGGC